CAAGGUCUACACCGAGCGGACCAGGAAUGGUUCCAUCAACAUCAGCACCAUUUACACCAAAAGUGACAACAGAAAAGAAUCCAACGACAUCAGAACCACCAACAACGAAAGCAGCAAGAAAAAUGGUCUCGGCCACAUCACCACUAUCUUCAUCGAGAGAAACAACAAGAUUGCUUUCAAC